rnacentral:rRNA from 1 species
UGAGGAAUUUUGGACAAUGGGGGCAACCCUGAUCCAGCGACGCCGCGUGUUGGAUGACGGGGCUUAGCCCUGUAAACAACUGUCGGAUGGGGAAAAAAGCUUUUUUAGGAAGGCUGGGCUUGUACCAUCAAAGGAAGGGUCGGCUAACUACGUGCCAGCAGCCGCGGUAAUACGUAGGACCCGAGCGUUGUCCGGAUUUACUGGGUAUAAAGGGUGCGUAGGCGGGCUUGUGCGUCAGGGGUUAAAUAUCACGGCUUAACCGUGGAAAUGCCUUUGAAACGGCAGGUCUUGAAUUUGGCAGAGGAUGAUAGAAUUCCUGGUGUAGCGGUGGAAUGCGUAGAUAUCAGGAGGAAUACCAGUGGCGAAGGCGGUCAUCUGGGUCAUAAUUGACGCUGAGGCACGAAAGCGUGGGGAUCAAACA